rnacentral:rRNA from 1 species
GACGAACGCUGGCGGCGUGCCUAAUACAUGCAAGUCGAACGGAGUGGCGCACGGGUGAGUAAUAUAUAGCUAAUAUGCCCCUCGUUGGAGGAUAACAGUUAGAAAUGACUGCUAAUACUCCAUAGCAAGGUAUGAGACUAUAUCGUAUUAGCAAUUCGGUGGGGUAACGGACUACCGAGGCUAUGAAGCGUAACUGUUCUGAGAGUAUGAUCAGUCACAUUGGCACUGCGACACGGUCCAAACUCCUACUGGAGGCAGCAGUAGGGAAUAUGGCGCAAUGGGGUAAACCCUGACGCAGCAACGCCGCAUGGAGGAUGACACUUUUCUGAGCGUAAACUCCUUUUGUUAGUGAAGCGUUACCUAACGAAUAGAUGCCGGCUAACACGGUGCCAGCCGCCGCGGUAAUUC